GGAAGAAUGGCUCAGUGGUAGAGUGUCCACCUAGCAAGUGUGAGGCUCUGAGUUCAACUCUUAGUACUGCCA
rnacentral:tRNA from 1 species